rnacentral:sRNA from 1 species
CUCAACCGCGAGGCAGUCCUCCCCUCUGCCCUCCUGUCCACAACACAACUGCUCCCCGCCUCUCACUUGAGGGCACCGGGGCCAGCCCCCGAGACGAGAGGUCGGCCGCAGCCCUCCUCCACGGGGCUCACGACCCGGGGGCCUCACGACCCGGGGGCCCCACGACCCGGGGGCCCCAUGCUGCCACCCUUACCCCGGGGCCCCCAACCUCACCCGCCGCCGCCACCCUCGGUCCCGGCCACUGCGGGCGGCUCUGCAGAAGAGCUACGCUCCGUCCAGUCGGACCCUGGACCCUGGCCGGGCAUCUCCGCGGCGCCGAGACCGCGAGCCGUGUGCGGGAGCAGCUGUCCCAGCGUCCCUCCGCCGACAGCACGCUAUUCCAGAUCCUCAGCACAUUCGCAAAUCGCGAGGGUCACCAUACAGGUCAAACGUCUGCACGCAAACCACGGACCGAAGCACGCGGCGCAAGGAUGCGGAGCUUUAUCUGUUGUCCGUUAUUACUCAGAGCACCUACUGUGCCACCAUGGUCCAGCACUGUGAAGCCCUCAACCGGUCUGUCCAAGUUGUAAACCUGGAUCCAGCAGCAGAACACUUCAACUACUCCGUGAUGGCUGACAUCCGGGAACUGAUCGAGGUGGAUGAUGUAAUGGAGGAUGA